CAGCCUGAUGCAUCCAUGCCGCGUGUAUGAAGAAGGCCUUCGGGUUGUAAAGUACUUUCAGUCGUGAGGAAGGUUUCGUAGUUAAUAACUGCGUUGCUUGACGUUAGCAACAGAAGAAGCACCGGCUAACUCCGUGCCAGCAGCCGCGGUAAUACGGAGGGUGCGAGCGUUAAUCGGAAUUACUGGGCGUAAAGCGCAUGCAGGUGGUUUGUUAAGUCAGAUGUGAAAGCCCGGGGCUCAACCUCGGAAUAGCAUUUGAAACUGGCAGACUAGAGUACUGUAGAGGGGGGUAGAAUUUCAGGUGUAGCGGUGAAAUGCGUAGAGAUCUGAAGGAAUACCGGUGGCGAAGGCGGCCCCCUGGACAGAUACUGACACUCANAUGCGAAAGCGUGGGGAGCAAACAGGAUUAGAUACCCUGGUAGUCCACGCCGUAAACGAUGUCUACUUGGAGGUUGUGGCCUUGAGCCGUGGCUUUCGGAGCUAACGCGUUAAGUAGACCGCCUGGGGAGUACGGUCGCAAGAUUAAAACUCAAAUGAAUUGACGGGGGCCCGCACAAGCGGUGGAGCAUGUGGUUUAAUUCGAUGCAACGCGAAGAACCUUACCUACUCUUGACAUCCAGAGAAUUUUCCAGAGAUGGAUUAGUGCCUUCGGAACUCUGAGACAGGUGCUGCAUGGCUGUCGUCAGCUCGUGUUGUGAAAUGUUGGGUUAAGUCCCGCAACGAGCGCAACCCUUAUCCUUGUUUGCCAGCGAGUAAUGUCGGGAACUCCACGGGAGACUGCCGGUGAUAAAACCGGA
rnacentral:rRNA from 1 species